AGCAAACGAGCGCUUUCUAGCGGCUUUCAACUUCAGACGGGGUGAUGCCGACUUCCGGCUCAGGCCAAGUUCGGGCCGCACACAGGCGGCCGUUACCUUACCCGGUAGGGAGGCUUCCUGGAGGGAGCGGGGCCAGACCGGGCUAGUUACUAAUUGCUUUCACUGUGUUCAGACCGUGCACUUGCCCGCAGGGACGAGGACGGCGGGAUGUGUGUUCACACGUGCGUGAGAGCGGAUUUGUAAGACUCCAGGGCCUUCAAGCUGUGAUUAGUCCGAUAGUUCCUGAAAUGACUGGGAAAACAGACGUUUUGUGUGCCAAUUGAAGAGUGUAUGUCUGUGUGUAUUUAAAACCUUUCCAUACUUACUCGAGAAGACGGGCUUAUUCUUGUGCGCACUUGAAGAGUUGUGUACAACUGAUGAAAAUUAAUCUAAGAAUCAGAUGGAGCAACUUGACACCACUGGGCUCAGGAGCCCGGGGAGAAAAACACAUCACUAAUGGCCAGUUUUCCAUAUGGUCUUCACGGGUAAAGAAAGUUUGCAAAAAGAAGAAAAAAAAACUUGCACAGAUCGAGCCUCAAAAAUACCUCUCCAGUUUAAAGAAGGAAUUAAGUGAGAAGGACAAUAGCUUAAGGUAGCAAUUGAAACUGAUGAUUACAAAAUAAUUAUCAAGGCGCAUUCAAGUAAAUCUUCCUCCUUUGGACUGUGCAUGUGACGUUUGGAGACAGUCCCCGAAGGUCGGCAGCAAAGCGCCCAUCAGCCCCGCGCGUCGCUCUUCAGGGAGACAGUGGGGAAGAGCUCGCCUCCCCUCCUGCCUGUGUUCGAGUUUUAAGGGAUUCUCUUCCCUGUUGAUCCAGGAAGACGUGCACGUAAGAGGAGGACGACUUGAUGGACUAAUUCUGAGAUUAGUUUUUUUUCCUUCUCGGUGGAAAAGUAUGUAGUCUGUAGGAGCAGAAGGGGGAGAGGUGACUAGGAGAGGAGAAAGAGGACGCAGCCUGUCACCCGGCUCCGCGCCGUUUGUCUGCAGGAGGAGUUCGGGUUUGCCCGAGGCCAGCCCUGGGACUCUUCUGAGGUCAGGGGCUUUCUCCCCCACCCCUAUGCAACCAAGGGGUGCACCAGCCUGCAGAGGGUCCCUCCCUGGGGACACAGCCACCUGCUAGGAAGCCAGGCUGGGCUUUCAAGCUGGAGGUUUCUGGUUCUGAACAUUGGGGAAGGGAGACCCUUUUUCUCCUAAAAUUUGGACUGCUGUCUGCACAAACUCUGGUUUGCACGGUUUGUGUGCCUUUUCUCCCCUUUAUGCAAUCUUUUUCAGCUUUAGCAGCAGAAAUUUGUCUCAUUGAGAAGAUAAGCCAGAGGGUAGCUUCGGAAGGAAGAUGAUCCCCAGUGUUCUGUCUCUGUAACUGAAUGUUUGAAGAGAAAAUUCCAGCUCGAGGGAUUCUUAAAGCCUUAAGUUACUUGAAAUCUAUGUAUUUGCAACCCUUUGUCUCUGGAAUCACAUUACAAAACUGGAAUCUCAGGCUGAGUGAGAAGAACCAAGUUGAGUGAAAAGAACACUCAGUUUCUUUAUCACCACUGGUUAAUGAUGCUCUUUCUCCAAAGGGUCAGCCCGCUCUUCCUCUAAGGACUUGAAAAUAGAAAUGGACCCCACAUUUUUUUUAAGCAUUACCUUUUCUUAGCAGACUGCCGUCAUCUUUUAUAGAGGAAUUUUUUCACUAUGCAUUUGUUGGAUCUUUAUAAAAUACUGACCUUCUAAUCAGAACCAGGUCAGUCUUAAUUAAAGGGGGUCUGGGAACACAGCGCAAGCCAACCACAGAAAUAAAACACGUCAAUGAAAGGAAUUGGUUUAACUU
ensembl:lncRNA